UACGUAGGGUGCGAGCGUUGUCCGGAAUUAUUGGGCGUAAAGAGCUCGUAGGCGGUUUGUCGCGUCUGCCGUGAAAGUCCGGGGCUCAACUCCGGAUCUGCGGUGGGUACGGGCAGACUAGAGUGAUGUAGGGGAGACUGGAAUUCCUGGUGUAGCGGUGGAAUGCGCAGAUAUCAGGAGGAACACCGGUGGCGAAGGCGGGUCUCUGGGCCAUUACUGACGCUGAGGAGCGAAAGCGUGGGGAGCGAACAGG
rnacentral:rRNA from 1 species